ACCGAAAUAGCUCAGUUGGGAGAGUGUUAUACUUAGAUCGAAAGGUCCCUGAUUCGAUCCCGGGAUUCGGCA
rnacentral:tRNA from 1 species